rfam:Candidatus Marinimicrobia bacterium CG1_02_48_14 cg1_0.2_scaffold_1987_c, whole genome shotgun sequence.
GGCCCCUUCGUCUAGUGGUCAGGACUCGAGAUUUUCAUUCUCGCAACAGGGGUUCGACUCCCCUAGGGGUCA